rnacentral:rRNA from 1 species
AGAGUUUGAUCCUGGCUCAGGACGAACGCUGGCGGCGUGCCUAAUACAUGCAAGUAGAACGCACAGUUUAUACCGUAGCUUGCUACACCAUAGACUGUGAGUUGCGAACGGGUGAGUAACGCGUAGGUAACCUGCCUGGUAGCGGGGGAUAACUAUUGGAAACGAUAGCUAAUACCGCAUAAUAUUAAUUAUUGCAUGAUAAUUAAUUGAAAGGUGCAAUUGCACCACUACCAGAUGGACCUGCGUUGUAUUAGCUAGUAGGUGAGGUAACGGCUCACCUAGGCGACGAUACAUAGCCGACCUGAGAGGGUGAUCGGCCACACUGGGACUGAGACACGGCCCAGACUCCUACGGGAGGCAGCAGUAGGGAAUCUUCGGCAAUGGACGAAAGUCUGACCGAGCAACGCCGCGUGAGUGAAGAAGGUUUUCGGAUCGUAAAGCUCUGUUGUAAGAGAAGAACGGGUGUGAGAGUGGAAAGUUCACACUGUGACGGUAUCUUACCAGAAAGGGACGGCUAACUACGUGCCAGCAGCCGCGGUAAUACGUAGGUCCCGAGCGUUGUCCGGAUUUAUUGGGCGUAAAGCGAGCGCAGGCGGUUAGAUAAGUCUGAAGUUAAAGGCUGUGGCUUAACCAUAGUACGCUUUGGAAACUGUUUAACUUGAGUGCAGAAGGGGAGAGUGGAAUUCCAUGUGUAGCGGUGAAAUGCGUAGAUAUAUGGAGGAACACCGGUGGCGAAAGCGGCUCUCUGGUCUGUAAC